UACAGAGGGUGCGAGCGUUAAUCGGAAUUACUGGGCGUAAAGCGCACGUAGGCGGCUUGGUAUGUCGGGUGUGAAAUCCCCGGGCUCAACCUGGGAACUGCAUCCGAAACUGCCUUGCUCGAGUAUGGGAGAGGGAAGUGGAAUUUCCGGUGUAGCGGUGAAAUUCGUAGAUAUCAAGCGGAACACCGGUGGCGAAGGCGGCCUUCUGGACAGUGACUGACGCUGAGACGCGAAAGCCAGGGGAGCAAACGGG
rnacentral:rRNA from 1 species